AAAUGAACAACUAUCCAGCAUUGCUUCAAGUGAAAUAAUGGCCGAAAAUUGGGUACGCGAAAAUGUUCUUGCGUACUACCCCAACACGAAGAUCAGAUUCAUACUUGUUGGAAAUGAAAUUUUUACCUACAAUGAUCAGAAAAUGUGGCUUGAUCUUGUACCAGCCAUGAGCCUAAUCGAGAAAUCAGUGGCUGCACAUAACAUUCAUAACAUAAAAGUGGGGACUCCACUGGCUAUGGACGUAAUGGAUUCGACUUUUCCACCCUCAAGUGGGAAAUUCAGUUCUAGAAUUCCGGAGAAGGUGAUGGUAUCGUUGCUCGAAUUCUUGAAUUCGACUCGAUCAUUCUUUUUCAUAGAUGCGUACACUUAUUAUCCAUGGUCAUUGGAUCCAUCGAAUUUGGACUUAGAUUAUGCAUUACUUAAGGGCGGAAAUCUAACUUAUAAGGAUCCAGUAAGUGGCUUGAUUUACACAAAUCUUCUCGAUCAGAUGCUUGAUUCUAUCAUCUUUGCCAUGCGGAAACUAGGGUUUCCAAACAUCAAGUUGGAUUUCCUGUGGCAGAUGCAUUUCUGUCAAGAAGAAUUGGCAUAAAUUAUGGUCAAUUGGGAAGCGAUUUGCCAUCUCCAUUUCAAUCAAUCGAAUAUCUCAAGUCGAUGAAAGCCGGUAUGGUGAAGCUCUAUGAUGCCAAUCCUGAAACUCUAAAGCUUUUAUCAGGAACAGAUCUUCAUGUCUCAAUAAUGGUGAAAAAUGAACAACUAUCCAGCAUUGCUUCAAGUGAAAUAAUGGCCGAAAAUUGGGUACGCGAAAAUGUUCUUGCGUACUACCCCAACACGAAGAUCAGAUUCAUACUUGUUGGAAAUGAAAUUUUUACCUACAAUGAUCAGAAAAUGUGGCUUGAUCUUGUACCAGCCAUGAGCCUAAUCGAGAAAUCAGUGGCUGCACAUAACAUUCAUAACAUAAAAGUGGGGACU
rnacentral:lncRNA from 1 species